rnacentral:rRNA from 1 species
AGCGAACGCUGGCGGCAGGCCUAACACAUGCAAGUCGAACGAACCUUUCGGGGUUAGUGGCGGACGGGUGAGUAACACGUGGGAACGUGCCUUUAGGUUCGGAAUAACUCAGGGAAACUUGUGCUAAUACCGAAUGUGCCCUUCGGGGGAAAGAUUAAUCGCCUUUAGAGCGGCCCGCGUCGGAUUAGCUAGUUGGUUGAGGUAAUGGCUCACCAAGGCGACGUACAGUAGCUGGUCUGAGAGGAUGAUCAGCCACAUUGGGACUGAGACACGGCCCAAACUCCUACGGGAGGCAGCAGUGGGGAAUCUUGCGCAAUGGGCGAAAGCCUGACGCAGCCAUGCCGCGUGAAUGAUGAAGGUCUUAGGAUUGUAAAAUUCUUUCACCGGGGACGAUAAUGACGGUACCCGGAGAAGAAGCCCCGGCUAACUUCGUG